rnacentral:lncRNA from 1 species
UGUAUUUUGUGAAUGUUAGGACUUAGUGAAAUUGUUACAUGGGGAAAGAUAUUUUGGGUAUACAGGACAUGACUUUUAGAUAGUAUGUCCAGAUCAUUUUGUGAAUGUUAGGACAUAGUGAAAUGCUUGAAAAUAUGAUGUGGUCUAUGAUGUAUGCUAGUUUGCACCUAUGUUGUGCAAGACUUCUAUGAACUUGGCAUGUAUUUUGGAACCUACCUAGCAGAGUUGAAUGAUAUGGUUUAAUGCUUUAGUAUGUUCAUGAUGUGCUUCUAUUAUUUAUGUACAAUAAUAUAUCAAAUAAGUGACGAGGGUGAAUUUUCAAAUUAUUUCAUGACG